UGUCUGGAGUGCAGGAGAUGCCUUAGAGAAUCUCUUAGUGCUACUAUGUCCUGUGAUUAAAGUCAAUGGGAAACUACAACAAUCUAAUCCAGGCAGGAUGAAAAGGCACAGACCCUGCCUGAAUGAAGAUAUUUUUCACUCCUCUAGGAAAAGAUCUAAGAUUGCUGACAAUGGAGAAAAUACAAAGUAUACACCUCUAGAACAUUGACUAAUACAUCAAGCUAUGACUGACAAGAUAAGCCAGUGAAAAAUACCAAAGACCGAAGUACAGCAGUGUCCUCAAACUUCCAUAAGACAGAAUGAUAUAUAUUUAUUUUAUCCUUUAUUAUUGGACUGCAGUGAUCAAACCCAGCGCCUUGUACAUACAAGGCUGACAUUCUUUCACUGUCACUGAUGUACUGCCUCAGCCUCAAGAGACUAACACAGUAUACUGGAAUCAAUAAGGCAAAUAAAAAAAUGGAAUGAAAAACAUAGUCCUGUAUUGAAGAAAACAAAAAAGAAGUUAUGCCAAAGCAAAGGCUGUUGGAAGUGGAUCAGCACAUCUCUCUUCUCAAAGCUUCACUGGAUCUGCCAUCCAAAGCCAGGACUCUUCUCCAGCCUAGACUCACCACCAAGCAUCAUGCAUGUCUCUGUCCUUUCCUGAUUGACCUGUUUCAUGACUUUGCAUGGCCUUCCCCAAAGACUGCAGCAGUGCAAUCCAUCCUAGGAGACCUGAAUCCCUCUUCUGACCUCCAUGGACAGUGCAAGAAUGUGGUGCACGGGCAAAUCAUCCACAGACCUCAAGCCAGGCCUAGUGGCUCAUUUUUCGCUGCUUGCCAAUCCAAAUCUAGUCUCAGCUCCUUCUGCAGCACCAUGCCUACCUGCACACUGCCAUGCUUCCCACCAUGAUGAUAACGGACUCCUCUGAAAUACAGGAGCCUAGCAUAACUGUCAUCAGGGAGGCGUCACCAAGCAAAUGAUGGAAACGGAUGCAGAAACCCUCAGCCAAAUUGAAUGGAGCUUGGGGAAUCUUGUGAAAGAGGAAGAAGAAGGAUUGAAUGAGCCAAGAGAGGUCAAGGACACUACAAGAAAACCUACAGAAUCAACUAACCUGGGUCUAUAGGGGCUCAUAGAAACUGAACUGCCAACCAGAGAGCAUGCAUGGGAUGAACCUAGGUUCUAUGCACAUAUGUAACAGUUGUGGAGUUGGAUCUUCAUGUGAAACUCCCAACAGCAGGAGCAGGGGCUAUCUCUGACUACAUUGCUUACCUCUGGAUCCCUCUUCGUUAACAUGGCUGCCUUGUAUAGCUUCAAUAGAUGAUGCUCCCAGUCUUACUGCAACUUAAUAUGAGAAGGCUGGUUGAUAUCCAUGAGAGGCCUCUCCUUUUCUGAGGAGAAUGAGAGGAGGCCUGUGGUGGAGGCAGGAUGUGGGAAGAGGGGAGGAGAAGACUGGAAGAAGAUGUGAUGAAAACAAAAACAAAAAGUCCAAACUUCUUUGUAGUGAUGUGAUGGGAACUAGGCCCUCUGUGUUAUACAGAUCCUGCUUACCAAAGUCAAUAGUGCUUAUGUUCCCCUAGCCAGAGGACAGUGGACUUCCUUCACAGAGGCUUUUGGGAUCUGUGUUUUGUCUGAACAUCUUGUAAUAGGUUCUAGUGUUAGAAGAUUUCUCUAGCUUGAGUACACACAAAUGGUUUUCUUUUGUGAAUAUGAGUAGAAUAUAUUAAAAUCACGUGUUACUGUA